UUGUCUGGAAGAGAGCAACACGUCCGGAAUUAGCGACGAUGACGAACGCUGACACAAGACGAUUAAAGUUACCUUGCGAUGACGUGUAAGGUUCCGUGAAGUGGCCGUUGUAGUGCAUUUGUGGCGGGGGCAUCAUGUAGCCCUGAGGCUUUGGCUGCUAUUCAAGGAAAAAAAAAAAAGAUGAACUAGCAGUCCUAAGUAGUCUUUGCUCCUCGUUGACUAAACAAUCACAAGAAUGUGCAUUUAACUCACCAGGGACAAUCUUGUUGACGAUCUACGUCUGACCGGGUUGACGACUGUGGACUGUGUUUGUCUGGGGAGAAAGAAAGUCAGUCACCCGCAAAAAAUGAUGUAUUCCUUCAAAGGUCACUUAAAUGCUGGUGUUUCUUAGCAUUCAUGCAAUCUCGAGUCAUCUUCUUGGAAUCUGUUUUGAACUAAAACAAAACUUCACCUCGUGAUCUCCUGCUGCAGCUGAGCGACACUGGGGAUGUAGAACACCACUCCGAAAUAGACGCUCUUCAAGAACAUCGCGGUUCUCUUCAUUGUCUGACCCUGCUUGGUCCCGAUGGCUCUCCACACCGUAUGCCUCUUCCUGAUUUGUCACAACCGGUUGGUAGUCCCCUUCAUCCUUUUCUUCAUAAUUCGCAUCUUCUUCGCGAUUGUCCUCCUCCUCCGUCUUUUCACUCGCUGUCAGCAAAGAACUUCUUUCAGGAGACCACGGCUGAGUAGAGCUCAACACGGGCUCCUCCAGGCAAUGCUCGGGAGAAUGAUUGCGUUCGCUUGCAUAAUCAAAGAGAUUGUUGUCCUCUUCAGCUGUCGCCCGCUCCAGCGUCAAUUCGGGCAUCACCGUGAGGCUAUCGAGCAGGUCUUUUUUCCCAGGCCCCUCACUGUAGGAGGAUGCAGCGGAAGGUUCCUCCAGGUUGUUCCGCAGAAUGUCCAGAAGGUUCCCCGACAUGCACUUCAAGCAUACUUACUUCAUCCAGACGAUGCAGAUUCAUAUCGAUAUGCCGCUGUACCACCCGGUCGAGGAUCCUUGAAGAAGAAACGGAUAUGUUACCAUCAAACCGACCCAAAGUGGUUAUUAACCCAAUAACGAAAAAAGUGCUCCGGUCCCAUCACGCGAGAUAUGAAAACAACCAUAGAACAGGAAAUGACUUUUUACCGACAGCAGACCUCACCUGUUUGAAACCGAUCCUCUGGACAAGAUGUCUUCCGUGACAUCAUUAAUAAACUCAAGGGUCAAGGAUUUUGAAUGCAAACUAACCCGAGGUGGAUCAUCCGACUCCUGCUGCACAGUUUUUGCUCUGCAAGAAGCAGUUCAAACAACAAUACGAAUCAAUCUGAAGACCUUUUGGAGGUGAGACUUUGCAGCGACUAACCGUUUCUCCGCUUUCAGGUCGUUGCUCUCCUCAGCCAGAUUGGCGCCCCGCGGUGCUCGAUAGUAGCGAUAACUAGACAGGAUCGCGAAAGGCCUUGAAGCUCGGCUUGCCCGAGGGGCACUGGGAUCCGGACGGGCGCCCCCGGGACGUCAGCUCCUGGCUUCGAAACUUGAGUUCCACGGCGGAAUAAGGGCGCUGAUGAUUAGCUUUAGUGGAUGGAGAGGAGAUGUCGUUUGCAUGAAAAAAUCUGCUGAAUCCAGGGCUGGAGUGCACAGAGUUUCUUGAGCAGAGGUAGGGUCUGCAUUCAGACUGCAUGGAACAUCGACUCUAAAAGAAAAAGGACACGGUAAAUGGCCGAGCCUUGGUGCAAAUUGUUCAAUCAAAAAAAAAAAAAAAAACGGUGCCAGUUGCUUACUUGUGCCGAGUAACAUGAAGCUAUGCUAUUCCUGUGCGAGAGCGAAUGUGCUGACUGGGGACGACCUCCUUUUUUCAAAUACUCCUGUCUCAUCCGGUCGCUGUCUGCUUCCACAUAUGCAAAUAUCUUCUCAAUGUUAUUAUACACACACUGAAUGUUGGCGUUAAGAGAUAAACUGGGACGUGGUACUUACACUUCACGCUUUGCGUAAGGCUUUUGGGUACUGAGGUGUCGAUAACAGCUGCAAGGAAAUAUAGAAUAUGAUUUGUUUUACAGAGAGGGAAGGAGACAGCUCCUUGUACUUUCACUAUUACGUGCUGUGAUGUUCAUGUUUCGAAAAGCUCACCUUUGGCUGAAUAAAUCCGUUUGUAGUGAGA